rnacentral:rRNA from 1 species
CCUACGGGUGGCAGCAGUGGGGAAUUUUGCGCAAUGCUCGUAAGAGUGACGCAGCGACGCCGCGUGAGUGAAGAAGUAUUUCGGUAUGUAAAGCUCUAUCAGCAGGGAAGAAAAUGACGGUACCUGAUUAAGAAGCCCCGGCUAACUACGUGCCAGCCGCCGCGGUAAUACGUAGGGGGCAAGCGUUAUCCGGAUUUACUGGGUGUAAAGGGAGCGUAGACGGCAGCACAAGUCUGGAGUGAAAUGCCGGGGCUUAACCCCGGAACUGCUUUGGAAACUGUGCAGCUAGAGUGCAGGAGAGGUAAGUGGAAUUCCUAGUGUAGCGGUGAAAUGCGUAGAUAUUAGGAGGAACACCAGUGGCGAAGGCGGCUUACUGGACUGUAACUGACGUUGAGGCUCGAAAGCGUGGGGAGCAAACAGGAUUAGAUACCCUGGUAGUC